rnacentral:rRNA from 1 species
CUCGGGGAUGACUUGUGGGUAGCGGUGAAAUUCCAAUCGAGCCCGGAGAUAGCUGGUUCUCCCCGAAAUAGCUUUAGGGCUAGCCUCAAGGUGAGAGAUACGGAGGUAGAGCACUGAAUGUCCUAGGGGGUAUUGCACCUACCGAAGACUAUCAAACUCCGAAUGCCGUCAUCUUAUACUUGGGAGUCAGACUGUGGGUGAUAAGAUUCAUAGUCGAAAGGGCAACAGCCCAGAUCGUCAGCUAAGGUCCCUAAAUGUAAGUUAAGUGGUAAAGGAUGUGGGAUUGCACAGACAACCAGGAUGUUGGCUUAGAAGCAGCCACUCAUUCAAAGAGUGCGUAAUAGCUCACUGGUCGAGUGAUCCUGCGCCGAAGAUUUCCGGGGCUAAAACUUACUACCGAAGCUACGGCAUCAUUAUGAUGGGUAGGGGAGCUUCCCAUACGGGUUGAAGCAUGACCGUAAGGACAUGUGGAC